GAAUUAGAACCCCUUGUCCACUUCAGGCCAGUUGAGACCACCAACCCACCAACGGGGCCUGCACAGGUGUCCAAUAGGCGACCUUUUGACAUCAAGAGGGUUAUUUCUAUUUCUUCCUUUUAAAAACAGUAUUGCAAGGAUCAUCCUUUUAUGUAUAUCUUUGCUCACCUACAACUUCUUCCGAGGAAAGUGGAGAGGAAGGAGUUAAAGAAGCUGGCCUUUAGUUCUGGAGAAAGAAAAAAGGCAGGUGACAUCUAAAUUCCUUGUAAAUGUGCUGAAAACUGAACCUUCUGGUAAAUAGAUGAAUGAUAUUUGCUAGGAGAUCUCUA
rnacentral:lncRNA from 1 species